AGACCCGAAACCCGGUGAUCUAGCCAUGGGCAGGUUGAAGGUUGGGUAACACUAACUGGAGGACCGAACCGACUAAUGUUGAAAAAUUAGCGGAUGACCUGUGGCUGGGGGUGAAAGGCCAAUCAAACCGGGAGAUAGCUGGUUCUCCCCGAAAGCUAUUUAGGUAGCGCCUCGUGAAUUCAUCUCCGGGGGUAGAGCACUGUUUCGGCUAGGGGGCCAUCCCGGCUUACCAACCCGAUGCAAACUGCGAAUACCGGAGAAUGUUAUCACGGGAGACACACGGCGGGUGCUAACGUCCGUCGUGAAGAGGGAAACAACCCAGACCGCCAGCUAAGGUCCCAAAGUCAUGGUUAAGUGGGAAACGAUGUGGGAAGGCCCAGACAGCCAGGAUGUUGGCUUAGAAGCAGCCAUCAUUUAAAGAAAGCGUAAUAGCUCACUGGUCGAGUCGGCCUGCGCGGAAGAUGUAACGGGGCUAAACCAUGCACCGAAGCUGCGGCAGCGAACGUAUCACCCAAGACAACUUUACGGAGUUGACGAUUGACGGAGCGAAGCGACGUCAAAGCGUUCAUUAAAGUCGAGUUGGCUUAGGGAUACGUUCGUUGGGUAGGGGAGCGUUCUGUAAGCCUGUGAAGGUGUGUCGUGAGGCAUGCUGGAGGUAUCAGAAGUGCGAAUGCUGACAUAAGUAACGAUAAAGCGGGUGAAAAGCCCGCUCGCCGGAAGACCAAGGGUUCCUGUCCAACGUUAAUCGGGGCAGGGUGAGUCGACCCCUAAGGCGAGGCCGAAAGGCGUAGUCGAUGGGAAACGGGUUAAUAUUCCCGUACUUGGUGUUACUGCGAAGGGGGGACGGAGAAGGCUAUGUUGGCCGGGCGACGGUUGUCCCGGUUUAAGCGUGUAGGUGUGUGUUCCAGGUAAAUCCGGUUCACUUUAACACUGAGGCGUGACGACGAGGCACUACGGUGCUGAAGCAACAAAUGCCCUGCUUCCAGGAAAAGCCUCUAAGCAUCAGGUAACACGAAAUCGUACCCCAAACCGACACAGGUGGUCAGGUAGAGAAUACCAAGGCGCUUGAGAGAACUCGGGUGAAGGAACUAGGCAAAAUGGUGCCGUAACUUCGGGAGAAGGCACGCUGACACGUAGGUGAAGUGAUUUACUCAUGGAGCU
rnacentral:rRNA from 1 species